UCCUCAUCUGGGUUCCCUGCUGCCGAAAAUCUUGUGCCUACAAUUCAAAAGAAGCACCAGUAGGAGAAUCAAGUAAGAAAUUUUCAGGUUUUCGAAUUGAAUUAUUCAAAGAAAUUUUCAGGUUUUCGAAUUGAAUUAUUCAGCUACCUCUUGAAUAUUUGAGAGCAAUAAAUGCUUUUAAAAUGAAAGAAGUUCACAAUUGGAAUGAUCACAUAUGUUCAAGGAUCCCCACAUUUAACUAGAAGGUUUUGCUUUCAUGUUUUACCAAUUAGUCAGAUAACAAACCCAAAUAAUAGACCCCAUAUUGUUUCGACUUAUCAUUUUUCUUGAGUUACGGUACCUGACAGAUUUCUG
rnacentral:lncRNA from 1 species